AGCUAAUAGAUACCCGGGUAGUCCACGCCCUAAACGAUGUCAACUAGUUGUUGGGGAUUCAUUUCCUUAGUAAACGUAGCUAAACGCGUGAAAGUUGACCGCCUGGGGAGUACGGUCGCAAGAUUAAAACUCAAAGGAAUUGACGGGGACCCGCACAAGCGGUGGAUGAUGUGGAUUAAUUCGAUGCAACGCGAAAAACCUUACCUACCCUUGACAUGGUCGGAAUCCUGCUGAGAGGCGGGAGUGCUCGAAAGAGAACCGGCGCACAGGUGCUGCAUGGCUGUCGUCAGCUCGUGUCGUGAGAUGUUGGGUUAACGUCCCGCAACGAGCGCAACCCUUGUCCUUAGUUGCUACGCAAGAGCACUCUAAGGAGACUGCCGGUGAC
rnacentral:rRNA from 1 species